GGAGUUGAAGCCAUGGAGCCAAUUCGAGACUGGGUCCGAGAAUGAGAAGCAUGAACAACUCUACCUCUGGGAGACAAGUGAGCUUGCUCUAAUACCUUGUUCUGAAGCUCUUGAGGGUAAUCUCUCAUGCAACCAAUACGAGGUUUGAUUUAGGAACCAUGAAUUCUUCUUCCGAUAAAAAUAAUUCUUCAGCUGUUUCAUAGCCGUCGUCAGAUGGAGAAUCUGGAAUGAGAACUCUACAACUAGCUGGAAGCGUCUCCUUCUUGAAUAUGUCAAACACAUUGCUUCUUUCUGGUAUUUGAAGAAUCUUCUUGAAGGCUGGUGAAUUUGUCCUUGCUGAGGCGUUCUUCUUCUUCAUAUGGGCUUUUCUGAGUAUAUAUCAUAGGCGCACAGAAUUUGGAUCAGCAGUUAUAAUCACCAGAAAGAAGUUUACUUUAUUACAUUAUAUACAUAAUCAGAGUGAUAUCUCAGAGGAUGGAUGGGCUUACAGGACCAAGAUAUUUGAUACAUUGUUGGUGAAGCUUAUAUCUGGGACAUCUCUCAAGGUUCACCUCUUUCCCUUCUCCUAUAUCAAGCCUGAUAUCAAGAGAAUUGUUAGAGUUAUUGAUAUUUAUUUUCUUUUGUUAAGCAUAUUUAGAAUUUAGACACCCAUUUUAUCUUACCAAUAGAAAAAGGGCUGUUUGCUAUCACAGUGGAGCCAUUUGACGUAGUAAAAUUGAAGAUUAUGGCCAUACCGAUGUCGAGGAUCGAUCUGUUUAUGAGAAAGAAAUAAUGUCACUAAAAAGACAACUUUAUAGUCUGAUUGUAGUCAUGUCGAGAGGGACUUACUGCCUCGAGCCAAUGCUGCAAAGCAAGUUUCCUUGCUUUUUCAUCCUUUGACAAACCUUUCCCUACCUACGGAAGACGUUUGUGUUAGGAAUGCCUAUAGAGAUUGAAUAUAUUAUAGUUUUAAAGCUUUUGGAUCCAUCGGUGAUUUCACCUGAUCACAAAGUAAGCAAGAAUGGGUUUACAAACCCAAAAAAUAAAGUGGAGUAGACCCUACUUAAGGUAUAGGCAAAUUACAUGAUAGAUAGCCUAACUAACUUUAGAAUGUAAAAUAUCAAUCAAAUAUUUUAUAAUUUUCAUUUUUCUGUUAAGGUACAAAUUAAUAUUUCA